rnacentral:rRNA from 1 species
UACGUAGGGGGCAAGCGUUAUCCGGAUUUACUGGGUUUAAAGGGUGCGUAGGCGGGAUGCCAAGUCAGCGGUAAAAAUGCGGUGCUCAACGCCGUCGAGCCGUUGAAACUGGCGUUCUUGAGUGGGCGAGAAGUAUGCGGAAUGCGUGGUGUAGCGGUGAAAUGCAUAGAUAUCACGCAGAACUCCGAUUGCGAAGGCAGCAUACCGGCGCCCUACUGACGCUGAGGCACGAAAGCGUGGGUAUCGAACAGG